AACGAACGCUGGCGGCAUGCCUAACACAUGCAAGUCGAACGAGACCUUCGGGUCUAGUGGCGCACGGGUGCGUAACGCGUGGGAACCUGCCCUUAGGUUCGGAAUAACUCCCCGAAAGGGGUGCUAAUACCGGAUAAUGUCUUCGGACCAAAGAUUUAUCGCCUUUGGAUGGGCCCGCGUUGGAUUAGCUAGUUGGUAGGGUAAAAGCCUACCAAGGCGACGAUCCAUAGCUGGUCUGAGAGGAUGAUCAGCCACACUGGGACUGAGACACGGCCCAGACUCCUACGGGAGACAGCAGUGGGGAAUAUUGGACAAUGGGCGAAAGCCUGAUCCAGCAAUGCCGCGUGAGUGAUGAAGGCCUUAGGGUUGUAAAGCUCUUUUACCCGGGAUGAUAAUGACAGUACCGGGAGAAUAAGCUCCGGCUAACUCCGUG
rnacentral:rRNA from 1 species